UUUCCCAGAGGGCUGUUCCUUUUGGUGGUAUAUCGUGAUAAUACCUAAAAUAUCUCUUAAAACUGUUCACUUGGAAGGCUGAGAGUAAGGUCAGAUAGGGAUAGGAUUUCUCUUAAAAUGUGUCUUUUUACAUUCCUCUCACCCCUUCUUAGGGGGCGGGGCUGAGGGCCCUCCAAAUAUGAGAACCCCUGAAAAAAAAGAUGGGAGAGACCUACAAGAUAUUACAACUUUCUAAGCUUCUCAAAGUCUAGGCCCCACAAAGAGCAAGUGGCAGGAUUCUAAAUGGAACCUAGAAAGUAAAGAGGAGGGAAAAAGCCUUUAUUAAGCUCCUAUGUGCCCAGCUCCACCUUUUACAAUCUCUCAUACAAAGACAAAACAUCUUUUCCAGUUAUAUCGUGAUAUACUGAAGCAAAGAGGCUGGUUAGAAUAUAACUAGUUAACGUGAUGGCAAAAAAAAAAAACACAAAAAAACCCUGUCAACAAGAUGAUUAUCCAAAGAUUAGGCAAUGACUGAACAAAUUAUAGAAUGCUGAUGUGAUAGAAUGUUGUUGAACUUUAUGAAAUGAUGAAUCUAGAAUUCAAAGAAUCAGGAGAACAAUCUAUCAUGGGGUUUUGAGUCCAGUUGCUUCUAGAUGACUGAAUGAUCUUGAACCAGUCAUUGUUUAUCAAGAGAAGCAGAUUAAUGAAGUAGAAAGAAUAGUGGACUUGGAGUGGACAGUGAUUUCAAAUCUUGACUCUGCUCUGUACUUCACAGUCUGACCUUGGACAAAUAACCUUCAUAAAUCUUAGCAUCUUCACCUGUAAAAUGAAGAGCUUGGUCUAGACAAUGUUUGAGGAUGUCUGCAAGAGUGAGAUAAGCAACCGAGGACCCCUCCCACCAACGCACCUGGGAGCUGACAGUUCCUGACUGCCAGAUCUGUCCGGAUAGGCAAGAUUAUUAUAGAAGCAGCUGCCAAGAGAACUCACAGUUUCCCCACCCCCAACACCAAGAGUGCUUGUUCAGGCAGUUAAUUAUACCUUUAUCUCCUUUUGCUGAAUGAAUCUGUAGGGUCUCUGGGAUCAGGAGUCUCUUGGCUAUCUGCUAUAAUCAAAUUGUACCUUAAAGAUUAAUCUGGCCUACACCCUGGUAAAAUAAGCUUAGUUUAGACUACAUUCAAAUGAAUCCGAACUAAAGUUGGGGAGAGUGUUGAGGAAUGAUGUAUCUUUACAAGGUCCUACUUACUAAUAUUGCUUAUGGGUUUUGAGGGAAUUAUCUUGAGAAUAAAAGAAUUUUCUUAGAGUUAAAUUUA